GGUGGAGGAAGAUCAACUCAACAGGUUUUCCAGAAUGUUUCAGCUCUUGCUUCUCUUCACCAUCCUCAGUUUUGUCGGUCCAAGUGUCCAGCAGUUGCAGACCUUAAAGGACACAGAAUCGGUGGCCCAAGGAGGGAUGGUCACCCUGUCUUGCAGAUACAAUAGUGGAAACAUUGGGGACGGCAACUACCCAUGGUGGUCCCAGAAGAUCCCUGGGAGUAAACCUCGCCUGGUGAUGCAUCACACCAGCACCCGACCCUCGGAUGUCCCAGCCCGUUUUUCAGGUUCUAGGUCAGGCAAUGUGAUGUCCCUGACCAUCACAGGGGCCCUGGAGGAAGACGAAGCCAUGUAUUACUGUGCUGUGGUGACAGGGAGUGGGUGCCACAGUCAUUGA